CAACUACUCCCUCUGUCCCAAAUUUCUUGUCUUAGAUUUGUCUAGAUACGGAUGUAUCUAAUACUAAAAUGUGACUUGAUACAUCUGUAUCUAGACAAAUCUAAGACAAGAAUUUUGGGACUGAGGGAGUACUUU
rnacentral:pre_miRNA from 1 species